rnacentral:misc_RNA from 1 species
GCGCCGGAACAGCAGACAGAUCAUGCCCGCCGAAGGUCAGCGUGCCGGCAUCGGGUUCGGUCAAACCCAUGAUGGUGCGCAGCGUCGUCGUUUUGCCCGCUCCAUUACGGCCGAUCAACGCAAUCGUCUGGCUGGCGGCAAAAAUGAAAUGACACCUUGCGCAGGAUUGGCGCAUCCGCGAUGGCAACGCUGAGAGAUGAUGCCUGCAACACGCUAGCCUCCAAUCACGGUGCGGAUGACCUCCGC